GGCCUUUAUAUUAGGUUAUUUUGAAAAUAGCUGAAGGGCGUUAGAAUUUGUCCAAAGGUCU
rnacentral:tRNA from 1 species